ensembl:lncRNA
GUUUGUGUAGUGGGGCUAGAUGGGGGCUAGAUGGCAGCUGGUUGUGUAAUGGUAGAUGGUAGAUGGUUGUGUAGUGGGGUUAGAUGGUAGAUGGUUGUGUAGUGGGGCUAGAUGGUAGAUGGUUGUGUAGUGUGGCUAGGUGGUAGAUGGUUGUGUAGUGUGGCUAGGUGGUAGAUGGUUGUGUAGUGUGGCUAGAUGGUAGAUGGUAGAUGUUUGUGUAGUGGGGCUAGAUGGUAGAUGGUUGUGUAGUGGGGCUAGAUGGUAGAUGGUUGCGUAUUGGGGCUAGAUGGUAGAUGGUUGUGUAGUGGGGCUAGAUGGUAGAUGGUUGUGUAGUGGGGCUAGAUGGUAGCUGGUUGUGUAGUGGGGAUAGAUGGUAGCUGGUUGUGUAGUGGGGCUAGAUGGUAGAUGUUUGUGUAGUGGGGCUAGAUGGGGGCUAGAUGGCAGCUGGUUGUGUAGUGGGGCUAGGUGGUAGAUGGUUGUGUAGUGGGGUUAGAUGGUAGCUGGUUGUGUAGUGGGGCUAGAUGGGGGAUAGAUGAUGGUUGUGUAGUGGGGCUAGAUGGUAGAUGGUAGACUGUAUAUACAGUAGGUGUACAUCCAAGAGGCUGAAUACUAACGGCUCCCACUGUAUAUACAGUAGAUGUACAUCCAAGAGGACGAAUACUAAUGAUACCCACAGUAUAUACAGUAGAUGUACA